rnacentral:misc_RNA from 1 species
AGAAUGUGAUUGCCACCAAGCUUUCAACACAGAUGUAGUAUCACCAGGCAGUUUUCCUGCUCUUCUUUUGCGUAAAAUUUCCUCUCUAAUGUCAACAAUUUUUUCCUUAUAACCCUGUUUGAGUUCAUGCUUGAGUUCUUGCCUAACACGCUCCAUCAGGGACCUUUCACUUUCAGUAGGUACAAGAGGACCAAAUCCCAUGCUAUCUGGUCCAUCAAAACCUCCAUCCAAAAAGUUUGUGUCACUAUCAG